rnacentral:rRNA from 1 species
AAAGGUAGCGUAAUCACUUGUUUUUUAAAUAAAGACUAGAAUGAAUGGCAUCACGAGAACUAAACUGUCUCCCCCCUCUAAUCAGUGAAACUGAUUUCCCCGUGCAGAAGCGGGGAUACAACCAUAAGACGAGAAGACCCUGUGGAGCUUAAAAUUUAAAAUCAACUGCUAACCUACCCAAACACUAACGCAGCAAUGAUUAAGGUUUUCAGCUGGGGCGGCUGCGGAGUAAAGACUACCCUCCGCGAAAAAUUAUACUAAGAAUUACCACUCUAAGUAUUAAUAAAUUUAACUUAUUUGAUCCAAUUUUUGAUCAACGGACCAAGUUACCCCAGGGAUAACAGCGCAAUCCACUUUUAGAGUCCCUAUCGACAAGUGGGCUUACGACCUCGAUGUUGGAUCAGGGCACCCAAGUGGUGCAGCCAUUACUAAAGGUUCGUUUGUUCAACGAUUAAAGCCCUACGUGAUCUGAGU